CUUCUAGUGUAAAAAGAUUUUAAAAGAA
rnacentral:piRNA from 1 species